rnacentral:rRNA from 1 species
UACGUAGGGUGCAAGCGUUAAUCGGAUUUACUGGGCGUAAAGCGUGCGCAGGCGGUUAUGUAAGUCAGCUGUGAAAUGCCCGGGCUUAACCUGGGAACUGCAUUUGUGACUGCACGGCUAGAGUGUGUCAGAGGGGGGUAGAAUUCCACGUGUAGCAGUGAAAUGCGUAGAUAUGUGGAGGAAUACCGAUGGCGAAGGCAGCCCCCUGGGAUAACACUGACGCUCAUGCGCGAAAGCGUGGGGAGCAAACAGG